UGGAGGUGCAGCGAAGAGGUUCCAGGAAAUAGCUCCACCGUAUAAACCGUACCCGAAACCGACACAGGUGGACUGGUAGAGAAUACCAAGGCGCUUGAGAGAACUAUGCUGAAGGAACUCGGCAAAAUGCUCCCGUAAGUUCGCGAGAAGGGAGACCUCACGACGGGCAACCGUUGUGGGGUGGCACAGACCAGGGGGUGGCGACUGUUUAUUAAAAACACAGGGCUCUGCGAAG
rnacentral:rRNA from 1 species